rnacentral:tRNA from 1 species
GGGUCGGUGGUCUAGUUGGCUAUGACACCGCCUUCACACGGCGGAGAUCCGCGGUUCGAAGCCGCGCCGACCCA